ensembl:misc_RNA 7SK 7SK RNA
GUAUGUGAGGGUGAUCUGGUUGUGACACCUGUCACCCCCAUUGAUCACCAGGAUUGAUUGAGUUGAUUUGACUAGCUACUCAGGUGUCCCCUUUCCUCUACACUCUAUGUGCGUCCCCCCCAAAGCUUCAUGCGUGAUCAAAGAUGACCACCACCCCUGAUAGAGGAGAUUUUCCUUGGUCAAGAGUAUUCAAGUUGCCACACUCCCCCGCUAGAACCUCCAAACAAGGUCUCAACGUUUGUCCAUCACUGUUGGCCUGAUACUUUACUAUUAGGGAUAUUGCUGUUUAAAAGUCACCUGCUACAGUACAGAUUCUACUUCUUGUCUGCCUUGGAGAAACUAUAAUGCU